CCCCUUCCCCUUUCUCUCACAAACGCCACUCCCUAAACCCUAGCAGAGCAAUCACCACCAGAAGCCCUAGCCGCCACCUUCAUCACUGAUCUCCUCUUCUCUCCGUCGCGCUCGGAGCUCUUCUUGUCGUCGCGUCUCCCAGCUGACUGCGGUGGCUCUCUCUGCUCGAGGUUCUGAGCUCAACGUCCUUCUUCGAGCUCUCUCUCUGUCUCUCUCACUGCGACGUCUUUUUUUGCUCGAUUGUUGAGUAUUCGCCGACGGUCCUUGUUUUGGGCCGUGGACUCCUACUCUUAUUAAAAUUCUCUCUCUCUAGCCGAAUGUUCUCUCUUGGAUUUUCUCUUCCUUGGAGCUCGAAUUAAGAUUCUGAACUGUUAUUUGUUACUGGAGGUGUUGGCUGCUGUGCGGUGUUUGCAACGUUGCUAUCCUACUGUAUUUGACUGAGUUCGGUAGAUUAAUAUGACUCUAGCCCACUAGAGUCUCUCUUAAUCUCACUCGAGUCACGUCUCAUCGCACUUGUCGGCGUCUUGUCAUUUGUCUUGUCUCGUUGCUGACGUCUCAACGUCUCGUGGUCUUCUUUGAGCUCCUCGUCACCGGCAACAGAAGCAACUUGGGUCGUUGCUUGUUUCAUUGCCUUACCUGGGUCGUCGUCUUCUGGUUUUGGUUCCUCGCUGUGGCCGAGUCGCCGUGGACCGUUGUUUUUGUUCGUUUUUAGAGGCGUGGCUGCUGUGAUGGUUGCAACGUUGCUGUUCAGUAGAUUAAUAUUGCUUUAGGAUGGCCACCAAGAAAGGUAAAGAGAAAGCUACUCCCAAACCACCGACAAGGAGAAGAACAAAACGUGCCUUGGUGGCAGAGCCAUCUUCAACAACGGUUAAGCCCUCAAUAAAAUGAAUCAAGAGGAUCAUCAAAGUCGAUGAAAAAAAAAGCCUUUCCAGCAAAGGACGCUGCGUGGUUCACUAACCGCUACUGUGAGCAGAUGUUCCCCAUUCUAGCGGAAAGGAACUAUAGCAAUGAGCACCUUCUCAUCCUCCCAAUCCAAAUUGCUAAAUUUGUUGAGCCCCGCAUUGAGCGAAGACAAUGGGGAUCCCUACAGAGAUAGCCACGACAUGUUAAUCUAUCAUGGGUAGUUUAAUUCUACUCCAACUUUCACUUGCUAACCCUGCAGUCUGUCUAUGUCCGUCAGAAGCAAGUCCCCAUUACAGAAGAGGCCAUUCAACAAGCUUUAGAUCUUCUCCCUGCUCCAGAAGAAUUGGAUGUAUUUCAAAUAGCCGCACUCAAGCACCAGAUGUACCAAUUUGACUGGGAUGCCGUUCUCAGAGUUAUCGCACAACCUAGCAGCAGAUGGAUUUAUGGAUACCAUCACUCCCGCUCUAAGGGAAUAUCGGCUUUCGCACUUACCUUAGAAGCUUGAGUAUGGGCACAGAUUAUGUCCCAUUACAUCUUUUCGAGCACUCAUGAGUCCUCCUUCACUGCAGACAUGGCUAUUCUACUCUGGUGUAUCAUUACAGACCAGCCUCUAAACCUACCAAGAUACAUCCGGAAUGCCAUGAGACACGUACAAAUUGCGAGUAACUUACCUUUUCCUGCCUUGGUCUUCGACCUCGUCUCAACAGCCGGCAUCUCCUACAGGACUGGGAACACCAGAGCCAUGCUUCCACGGAGUGAUCAAUACCUUUCUAAUGGGAAAUAUAUCAGACCUCCAGCAGCCACUACCAGCCAACCUACAGAACAGGCUGAAGACAUUUCUCCUUCCACACCACAAGCACCUUCAACAAGUCAGCUGCUCCAUCAGAUCCUGGAGAGGUUGGACUGGCAAAAAUAGAAAGUAAAGCUAUGAGAGCGCCGCAAUCAGCACCGAUUCAAAUACCUCAAGGAGCUACUCACAGGAAACCACAGACCUGACAAAGACCCCGACACUCCGGACUCCACUUCAUUUACCAGCAUAGAGAUCCAUGACGGUCCCAACUGUGGAGCUACUGCUACCAGCUCCCCUUUAUUCCUGACAGAUGGCACCGAGGACGGUGCAAAGGCUUAAGUGUGGGGAGGUCGGUCAGUACCUGACUUCCGGAGGUAACCUUUCUUCCUUAACAUCAAUAAAGUAGGAUAUUUAGUUAUUUUUUUUCCUUUGAUUAGGAUAGGAUAUAUUGUUUAAUAAUA